rnacentral:rRNA from 1 species
AAAACAUGUCUAUUUGAAAGAUUUAAAUAGUCGGGCCUGCUCACUGAUAUGAAGAUUUAAAGAGCCGCGGUAUUCUGACCGUGCAAAGGUAGCAUAAUCAUUAGUUUCUUAAUUGGGAACUGGUAUGAAUGGUUUGACAAGAAGAAAACUGUCUUGAUCACAGAAAUUGAAUUUAACUUUUAAGUGAAAAGGCUUAAAUAGUUUAGGGGGACGAUAAGACCCUAUAAAGCUUUAUAUAAAGGUUAAUAUUUAUUAAAUUAAGGUAAUAAAAAUUUAUAUUGAUUAUUAUAUUAUAUUGGGGCGAUAUAAGUAUAAUUUAUUAUAACUGCUUAGUGCAAAAAACACAAUAUCAGUGUUUAAAUAUAAAAGAUCCUAUAAUAUAGAUUGACAGUUUAAGUUACUUUAGGGAUAACAGCGUUAUUUCUUUUGAGAGUUCAUAUCGAAAGAGAAGUUUGCGACCUCGAUGUUGAAUUAAAAUUUCUAUAUAAUGCAGCCGUUAUAUAUGAAGGUCUGUUCGACCUUUAAAAUUUUACGUGA